rnacentral:lncRNA from 1 species
AAAUAACGAAAAUCCCCCCUGACAUCCCUUUCACUUGAUGAUUUAUUGCUUUUAUAAAUUUAUUUAUUACUUUGUAAUUUGUAUUGAUAAUUUGAUAUUAUAAUUUUUUUAUUUUUUUAUUUGAAAAAGGGCAUCUUCCCCAACCAAACUUAUCCCGUCACCACCGGCCCAACCAAAUUACUCUUCAUCCAUUUCAGCCCUCAAACCGCCGCCUGCCACCUCUGCUUUACCUCCCUCCGCCGCCUCUGUUUCGCCGCCCUCCGCUUGCCCAACUCUGCUUCGUCGCCCUCCGCCGCCUGCCGCCUCUGCUUCAUCGUCCAUCGAAAAUUAAGGACUAUAACCCGAAAGCACAUCACACCGAAACACCAAAUUAAUCAAUCUUUCUCUCUCCCGAAAAAAAAACAACAAAUUGAGGACUGUAUUGUUGAUUAAGCUUUGAUUCCAAAAACUCAAAUUCCUCGGGCGGAUUCAAACUCUGAUUCAAAGAAAAAAAUUUGGUUUGGGGCUGAAAUUGAUGGACCGCCGCCGAAGGUUUCAACGGCGGAAGGUAUAUCCCUUGCUACAGUGUCAUAUUUCCACCAAAUGGGUUGCUUCCACCACUGCAAUUCGCCGCCGCCGUCACCCGUUGAUUGAUUGCGGCAAAGAAAUAACCACCAGCCGGCAGUCAAAUUUUGAGACCGGAGCACCGGCGAAAAAAACCCAAUUUCUUUGCCUUGUGAUGGUGAAGGGGCGGAUUAAAUAGCAGAUUUUUCGAAAUCGAACUAGCAGAUAUGGGGGGAUGGAUUGAAAUUGGUUCGGUGGUGGUGGGGGUGGUGCGGCGGAUCAGAGGUUGUGGUGGUUGGUGUUUGAUUUGU